rnacentral:rRNA from 1 species
GAUGAACGCUAGCGGCAGGCCUAAUACAUGCAAGACGAACGGUAAGCUUUGUAGCAAUACGGAGCCUAGAGUGUCGCAAGGGUGCGUAACACGUAUGCAAUCUACCCUGUACAGGAGUAUAGCUCCCCGAAAGGGGAAUUAACCCUCCAUAAUAUGAUGAACCGGCAUCGGUUUAUUAUUAAAACUGAGGUGGUACAGGAUGAGCAUGCGUCUGAUUAGCUAGUUGGUAGUGUAAUGGACUACCAAGGCAAUGAUCAGUAGGGGAACUGAGAGGUUGAUCCCCCACACUGGCACUGAGAUACGGGCCAGACUCCUACGGGAGGCAGCAGUAGGGAAUAUUGGACAAUGGGUGAGAGCCUGAUCCAGCCAUGCCGCGUGCAGGAAGAAAGGGCCUUCUGGGUUGUAAACUGCUUUUAUCUGGGGAUAAAAAGGCCUUGCGAGGCAAACUGAAGGUACCAGAUGAAUAAGCCACGGCUAACUACGUGCCAGCA